UACUAAUACACCCUAUUUAGCAUUAUUCUUAUACACCCUGCCAAACGACCCCUUAUAAUUUGUUUUUGGUUUUGUAUUUCAUACUGGAGGUAGAGUUUGACUUCAUUAACAUGUGUCAGUUUUUUUCUAUGCAGUCCAGCUGUUGCAAUGCAUACAACAUCUUUAUUGCUCCUGAAGUCAAAAUCUUUCUUAGUCAUAAAAGCACCUUUUUAUUUCCUGGUGGUUACAGAGGGAAGCUUCACCUGUGUGAGCUUGCUCACAUUGACUGUUCCUAAGUAGACAACCAGCAAACUAGUCAAUAUGGUGAAUCCUCACAUUACAAUAUAAGACAGGCUAAAAUGUAUCGACAUGGACAUUGAGAAUUUACAUAGCCGAUCUCAACUUGCCAGGGGUUGAAGUGUAGUUGUUUGUUAGUUACAGGGGGAAUUGAUGGGCAAAACCUUGGCCUGAAGUGUUGAAAAGCAAUCUUUGACCUCAGGAUUGUCCAUAAACUAUACCCUUGACCAUCAAGCCCACCCUUUGUGAUCGUACACAUUCCCACUAGUAAAAAUAAUGUGUAGAAAUCUAUUCCUGUUGGUUAAUUGGUUUUGGAUUUUGUAGAGAAGACAGGCAAACUAUAUUAAAUUGAUGCACUAUUAGAUUUUUAAUGGAAGUGAUUGUGCUCUGUGAUAUUUCCUGGUUUACUCAAUGGCUGGACUCUUGAUAAUGAAUCUUAUGAUAAGGAGGGUAGUUACUUAAAUGGCUUGACUAGAAAGCUUCUUGCUUGUUAGAAUGUUAUUUGUUACUUAUAUAGUACUAUCUUGUUGGUAAUUUAUUUUUUUGAUAAUCUAUUAUCUCGUUUAGUAAUAUAUUUAAUUUCUACAAAAUUCGGUGCUUCUUGCGUGAGUUUAGCAUAUUUGUUGGACCUUUUUUUUUUCCUUAUCUGGUUAAUGUAUUGUCUGGUUUGCUAAGAUCAAGAAUAGUAGGUUUAGCUUGUUAGACAUUUGACAUUUAUUAUUUUUCAGUUGAGGAUAAGGCAGCAGCGUGUAUUUGGCAUUUGAUUUUUAAUUUUUUUAUUAAUUCAGGGGAGGGGGUAAGGGAAAGUGCUACUGAUGUUCAUUUCUUUUCUUUUCUUUCUUUUGAGGGGUGGGGGUUCCUACUGGAUUGGUUGUACACCAGUGUGUAUAAAUCAUUUUCAUCUGAAUGAUUCAGGUUACUAAUAGGGAAAGAAAUUGCGGGUGAUGGUGUGAUUUAAAAAUCCCUUACUUAUUUAUUCUGUUAUUGGUACGAUUGAUGGAACCAUCAUUCAAACACCAGUGUAUUUAUUUGAUUGUCUCUAUCGCUCUAUUGUUAACCAGGAUAACGAGUAUAUUAAAUUUAUUAAUCAAUUGAAUAAAUUUGGCAUGUCACGUGUUUGUAUAAUAUAUUCCUCAUUCCGUGCUGUGAAGCAGUUUUCGUUACUAUUUGUUGUGUAUUCGUUGGUCACCAUUGAUGGUUGGUUGGCGCAAAUAUGAAUGAGAGUCUGGUUCCUUCCUUUGGUAAGUACCAAUAAAUACAUAGUCUUCACGUGUGUGUAUUUUAUCGGUAUUUCUCGCUUCAUGCGGUGCUACAAUUUUCCUGUAACAUUUGUUGUUUAUUUGGUGUUUCAGGUACUAAAAGUCGCUGUCUGUUGGUUAGCAGUUUAUGUUUGUUGGAAAAAAUACGCAUGAGAGAAUUCGGGUUCCUUUAUAUAUAUGGAGCAAAGGAAGGUCUCUUUCGCCUACGAGCAUUUGUAUGAAGAAAGGAGUCUCGUACAAAGGGUUGGAAAGAAGGCCUUUUCGUUUGGUUUGAACCAAUCUUUCGUCGUUUGCAGUCCUCUUUUUCUUCCUUCUAACACCGCCUAUAUCCCGAGGAAAAAGAAAAUAGAAUCUUUCUGUUGAUCAUCUCUAUUUUUGAGGCCUGAGGUAGGACCAGUGGAACCAUUUUUAUCUACAUGAACUUCUUUCCCUCUUAAUCCUGCUUACCAAUUUGGAUAACUCAUUUAUGCAAGCAUCGGUAUGGAAAGCUCCAGAAUAAAUAUAUCCAACGUAUUGCAUGUGGACGAAAGACUUGCAGCAGGAAAUUCUCAUUCUUCUAAAACAUUCAACCUGUGAAGAAAGAUAUCUCAUGGAGAGGCAGUGAUGGUUUGUUUCGUGGACAAUAAAUUGCCUCUACUUCAGAAAGCAUCAUCGUAUUAAUUUUGUCGAGGAUUCAAAUUAAAGCAACACUUCCAAGUUGGAUUCAGUGGCGAGCUGUUUGCAGAAAUGGAAGGACUCUUGCAGUUUAGCUUUUAAACGGGUAUGUUGAUAACAAGAAAUUUUUCACUGUGCUUGGACAAGCUGCAAAUGAUUUUCAUUUAGCACUUGUUGAUACUGCUAAGGCAAUGUUUGUGGGAUAAACCCCUGGUUUCAGCAAGUUGAUAGGGAGAGAUUAUAAUGCUUACUAUCUUCUUCAUUCGAACUUAAAACGUCGGCUUUUCAGUUUGAUGAGGAAACUCUGGCUAUCUCAUUGUACUCUUUCCGUAACAUGGGUCUGAAGAUAAUUUAUUUUAUGCAGAUAGAAGAGAGUGUCUAACAAGUUCAGCUUUCAGAUCUGAAAAUUAGUUUUAUUGUUA